UACAGAGGGUGCAAGCGUUAAUCGGAAUUACUGGGCGUAAAGCGUGCGUAGACGGUUACAUAAGUCGGGUGUGAAAGCCCCGGGCUCAACCCAGGAAGUGCACUCGAAACUGGCAGGCUUGAAUAUGGAAGAGGGUCGCGGAAUUCCCGGUGUAGAGGUGAAAUUCGUAGAUAUCGGGAGGAACACCAGUGGCGAAGGCGGCGACCUGGACCAACACUGACACUGAUGAGCGAAAGCCAGGGGAGCAAACGGG
rnacentral:rRNA from 1 species